GACGAACGCUGGCGGCGUGCCUAAUACAUGCAAGUCGAGCGCAGGAAACUGACGGAACUCUUCGGAGGGAAGGCAGCGGAAUGAGCGGCGGAUGGGUGAGUAACACGUAAGGAACCUGCCUCAAGGAUUGGGAUAACUCCGAGAAAUCGGAGCUAAUACCGGAUAGUUCAUCGGACCGCAUGGUCCGUUGAUGAAAGGCGCUCCGGCGUCACCUUGAGAUGGCCUUGCGGUGCAUUAGCUAGUUGGUGGGUAACGGCCCACCAAGGCGACGACGCAUAGCCGACCUGAGCGGGUGAUCGGCCACACUGGGACUGAGACACGGCCCAGACUCCUACGGGAGGCAGCAGUAGGGAAUCUUCGACAAUGGACGAAAGUCUGAUGGUGCAACGCCGAGUGAGUGAUGAAGGUUUUCGGAUCGUAAAACUCUGUUGUAAGGGAAAAACACGUACGAGAGGGAAUGCUCGUACCUUGACGGUACCUUACGAGAAAGCCACGGCUAACUACGUGCCAGCCGCCGCAGUAAAAC
rnacentral:rRNA from 1 species